rnacentral:rRNA from 1 species
CUUUGUGUUUAUAACUCAUUUGAAAAUUUAGUUUAAAACUUGUUCCAUCUCUGAAGCUAAGCAGGGUCAGACCUGGUUAGUACUUGGAUGGGAGACCACCUAGGAAGACCAGGUGCUGUAGGUG